rnacentral:lncRNA from 10 species
CCGCCCCGCCAGAGAUUUGUAAAGCGCGCGGCACGGAUGUACCAUUCAAGCUAAUACCUAUAGACAGAUGUGUCCCCAGUGGUUUCAAAGUUUCCUCUUCCCUUCACCAGCCGGCCCCCUUCUCUGAUCGGCGGGGGUGGGAAGCGGGGGCUCGCAUCGCCAAGAGCUCUGGUCGUGGCCACGCUCCUUGGAAAUCCGCCACCGCAACUUUCCGCAGCCGUUGCGCGCCGGCGGCAGCCCCCUUUGUUUAAGUUCUCGGAUGCCAUCAUCUGGGAAACCUGCAGCCCAGGACCAGCGCGGUGCCCGCGCGUGCGAGACGGACCGCUCGCUGCCGCCGCUCCCUGGCUCCUCCACCCCCUCUCUCCCUCCUUCGCUCUCCCUCCCUUCCUCCCUCCUCCCUCCUCUGGGAUUCGUGCAAGUAGCGUGCGUGCCCUUGUGAGUUUGGAGGGUGCCGGUCAGCGGAGCCGUGCGAUGUAUUUGAAAAGCAAUCAGUCCGACCUUCCCCCAUAGAUUCAUCACUAGUGGAGAGCUGGGCUUCGAGGCGUCAGUGUGAAGGGAAGGCUAAGGACGCAUCGGUGCUGGAGAGUUGAGAAUAUGCCUUCCCCUCCACCCCCAACCCAGUCACCUUAUUUGAAAAAAAAUUAAAAAACACCUUUUAUUUAAAAACCUAACCCUGGAAGUUUGCUCGCUGCCUGAAAAUCAUAUGCGUGGUUUUUCCUGUUUCCUGCUCUGUAGCUGACAUCAGGGGAGCAACGUGAACACAGGAAAAUGGAAAUCAACAUUUGAAACUUUUAAAUGGAAGCUUUAUUGGGGUUCCACAUAUGGAAAACUGCAAAUAGCAGAAGUAUGUGACUCAAUAAAUUAUUCUGGAGUGACCACAUCCUCUAACUGCCUCCCAGGACAAGACGGAGAAUGUGAACAAUGCUCCUGAAGGCCCCUUUCCCUCAAAGAAUCACUGCAAUUGAAGGAAAAAUGCUCCAUGUCCCCUCUGCCAGUUGGUGUUUAUCAAAGGACAACGGAGGAAGAGAGACAAAGUGCCUGGAUGUGUGUGUUAAUCAAGAGUUGUCAGGACCCUGCCUCUAAAAGAAAGCGCUAAAAUGAUGCUUUUGACAAGACUUUUCUCAAAGUGGAUGCAGUCUAAGGGUUGGAAAACAAGGCCCAAUCAGGCUAGGUCUGACUUGUCGCCUGCUUUUGUAAAUAAAGUUUUAUUGGCUCACAGACACACU